GUCUCCCAACGUGCAUACCUUCCAUUUGCAUGUUGUUGUGAGCCACAUGGAAACUCGUACACACGUGGUGGCAGCCGUCUGCUGUGCUUUUUUUAGGCAGACAAUGGCUUACGAGUGGCCGUGUGCUUGUUGAACAACGGUGACCAAUUUGGCGUCUACGCCGUAUCUAGCUUCUGCCUGGACCGUCAGUUGCGAUGAAAGAUGCGGAGAAAGUUCCUUUGUUUUGGCUGCUAAUCAUCAUUGAUGAGCAGUAGCUUAAGGCAGAGUUGAGCAGACUUAAUGAGCCACGCUAGGUGGCCGCCAAAACCCAAAACACAACCGGUCUAUUUGACAUUGUUAUUUCAUUGUAUGUGUUGAAAAUGUACAAAUCUUGGCGGUGGAUCACUCGGUUCGUGGAUCGAUGAAGAACGCAGCCAGCUGCGAUAAAUAGUGCGAAUUGCAGACACAUUGAGCACUAAGAAUUCGAACGCACAUUGCGCUAUCGGGUUCAUUCCCGAUGGCACGUCUGGCUGAGGGUCGAAUUACGGUGAACUGUCUUCACGGUUUUUCUGGACUGUGAAGCAUUCGGCAAGCAAUUGCUGUUGUGUUGUUGGUGAUUCUAUCAUGGACAAUAUGACGAGCGGUUCCUUGCUUAGUGAUGACAAAAGAAGACGUCAACACCGAAUCUACUAUACUACUAAUACUAGUAUAUAGGUGAGGUGCUUUUGGUGGUCACAAAAGUGACAAGUAUGCCAUUUCAUAGGGGCAACAACCAGCAUACGUGAUAAGUUGGCUGGUUGAUGAAACGGCAACGGAAUGACGGACGUCUAUGUGAUCAAAAAUGAUACUAUUUGACCUCAGCUCAGUCGUGAUUACCCGCUGAAUUUAAGCAUAUAAUUAAGCG
rnacentral:rRNA from 1 species